rfam:Ajellomyces capsulatus NAm1 scaffold_1 genomic scaffold, whole genome shotgun sequence.
GGUUGUAUAGUGUAGCGGUCAGCACGCCAGAUUCUGAUUCUGGAAACCUGGGUUCGAUUCCCAGUACGACCU